rnacentral:rRNA from 1 species
GGUGGACCUGCCCAAGAGAUCGGGAUAACACCUGGAAACAGAUGCUAAUACCGGAUAACAACAGAUGAUGCCUAUCAACUGUUUAAAAAGAUGGUUCUGCUAUCACUCUUGGAUGGACCUGCGGUGCAUUAGCUAGUUGGUAGGGUAACGGCCUACCAAGGCGAUGAUGCAUAGCCGAGUUGAGAGACUGAUCGGCCACAUUGGGACUGAGACACGGCCCAAACUCCUACGGGAGGCAGCAGUAGGGAAUCUUCCACAAUGGACGCAAGUCUGAUGGAGCAACGCCGCGUGAGUGAAGAAGGGUUUCGGCUCGUAAAGCUCUGUUGUUGGUGAAGAAGGACAGGGGUAGUAACUGACCUUUGUUUGACGGUAAUCAAUUAGAAAGUCACGGCUAACUACGUGCCAGCAGCCGCGGUAAAU